CCCGAACGGUGGAUCACUCGGCUCGCGGAUCG
rnacentral:rRNA from 1 species